UCUGCCUUGGAAACAUCAGUACUACAACAUUAAAGACCUGGUGGACAUAACCAAACAGCCAGUGAUAUACUUGAAAGAAAUCCUCCGAGAAAUAGGCAUCUACAACGUGAAGGGGACCCACAAAAACACGUGGGAGCUGAAGCCGGAAUACAGACAUUACCAAGUGGAAGACAAGAGCGAUUAACAAAACCCCUACGAAGCAGAAGAGGACUACAGAGGAGAGUGACCGCACCGAGGGAGCUGCUGUGGGUUUCCAGACAGAACUGAGCACAGCCCAACUGUGCAAGGCUAAAUUAAAAUCCAACCAACCAAUCCUUUGUAAUUUUCCGUAGCCUCGUUUGUUUUUCAGAGGAAUAUUUCUUGUAAGUUUCUAUAAAUGUUUGUCUUUGGACAAAAAAAAAUAUUUAUAGAAUAAACUUGUAUUAGAUUUAUCUUUAUUAGAAAUCUGGUGAGUUCAGAUCUUGCUUUUUCUGGAUAGCUUCGUGCUUUUUCUAAGCCUCGAUAACUCAGGAGGAAAACGUGUCGUGGAGGAAGCUGUAACUCUGUGUUUGUUGCCUUCCUGUAGAGCCGAGUUCCUGCUCUUUGCUUCUGCUGGGAUCCGCCAGGGCUUUAGCUGCAAGGCUGCAGAGAUGCUCAGUGCUUUGUGUAACGUUUGGCUGUGCUCUUUUUGGGAGCAACAGCCCAGCCGUGGUGCUCAGCACAGGCCUCAGGCUUCGUGGGAACAAAUAAAUAAAUAAAAAAAGUAAAGGAAAGGCAGUUUGUGAGGGAAAGAAGACAAUCCCUUCUGGGUGGCUACUGGGGAAAAAAAAAGGCAAUGUCUGUCUACUAACUACAUCAAGGAACAGAUCUAUCUUUUUUUUUUUAAUUAUUAAUAUUAUUUUAUCUAUGUUUCAUGCUUCAGCACACCAAUAAAAGCAUUAUUUUAAUUUGUACCAAG